rnacentral:tRNA from 1 species
GGAGAGGUGGCAGAGCGGCUGAAUGCGGCGGUCUCGAAAACCGUUAUCCCUUCUAGGGAUCGGGGGUUCAAAUCCCUCCCUCUCCGCCA